UACGUAGGGUGCAAGCGUUGUCCGGAAUUAUUGGGCGUAAAGAGCUCGUAGGCGGUCUGUCACGUCGGCUGUGAAAACCUGGGGCUCAACCCCGGGCCUGCAGCCGAUACGGGCAGACUAGAAUUCGGUAGGGGAGACUGGGAAUUCCUGGUGUAGCGGUGAAAUGCGCAGAUAUCAGGAGGAACACCGGUGGCGAAGGCGGGUCUCUGGGCCGAUAUUGACGCUGAGGAGCGAAAGCGUGGGGAGCGAACAGG
rnacentral:rRNA from 1 species